rnacentral:lncRNA from 1 species
AUAUAUUUUAAAUAUAUCUCAAUUCAAUCUUAAUUUAAUCCUAAUUAAAAUCCUAUUGAACUUCAUUCAAACUUUAGGCCAAAAAUUAACUAAAUCUUAAAUCCUAAACAAACCUUAAUAAAAUCUUAACCAAAACUUAAAUCAAAUUUUAAUCAAAUCUUAAAUCCUAAAUCAAAUCCUAAUCAAAUAAUAAAUCCUAAACCAAAUCCUAAAUCCUAAACCGAAUCCUAAAUCUUCAAUAAAAUUUUAAAUCCUAAACCAAAUCCUAGCCAAAUCUUAAAUCCUAAAUCAAAUCCAAAUCUUA